CUGGGCAGUGGUUCACAGAACUCACUCUCUGGGCAGUGGUUCACAGAACUCACUCUCUGGGCAGUGGUUCACAGAACUCACUCUCUGGUUUCUACCGGUGAGCUCAUGGCCCCCGUCUUGGAAAGAUAGAGAGCAGCAUAGGUCAUAUGUCUAGCUAGCUGCGGACAUGACUGGAGUAAUUCACACCACAGCCUCUCCGUUACUCACACAUACUGUAGCGUAAUGUGAUCUGGAUAAUAUAAAGAUAUAUAUAUAUAUAAAAUACAUUUGCGUUGUUUAACAGGGACAGUCAUAGUAGUACAGCACCCCUGGAGCAAAUAGGGUUAAGUGCCUUGCUCAAGGGCAACAUCCGAUAGAUUUUUCAUUCAAAACUUUCGUUUACUGGCCCAACUCUCUAACCCCGAGGAUACAAGACGAUAUACGUAGCACAUCGCUAUAAUGAUGGGAGUUUGGUGUCAUGUCAGAGGCCUGUGUGAGUCCGAGUAGUCCUGUGUGGAGUUGACUGUGUGUGAGAUGUAGACGGCCCUACAGAGGAAUGGAAUCCCAUAUCCCAACAUGACUAAAUAUUCUCCUCCUCCAGGGGGUGCCUGACACCACCAUGUAACCUACAUUAUUAUACAUUACUGUAUGUACUGUGGUUGUCAUGGGAUCCAUCCGUUUAUGACGACAUGAGUCUCUGGUUGGGAGCUUUGGUAGCUGCCGCUGAUUGCCGGGCAGUGGGCCCCUCUACAGCCUCAGAUUCAGACUGCACCAACACACUUCAACCAGUCAGUGGCACGUGUUUAGGACGCAUCCGGACUUUCCCUCGACACACAGACCUGGGUCCAAUACGGAUCUCUCCCUAUUCCCUAGACCUACUCCAAGGCACACUUGAAUUAACUUGGAGUUUGCACUUUUGGGACUAUUCCAUUGGUUUCAUGUGUUCAGCACAGCUCAAAAACAUCCUUUUAAAGGCAUCUGACAUAAUAUAUUUGACCCGUGUCUGCUCUACACAGUAUACUUUAACUAAUAGAACCAUAUUCAUUCAGGUGGGUCACUGAUAAAGUAUAUUUUUCCAAUACUGUACAACCUGGUCACUGCAGUGUAAAGCAACCCCCUUAAUACCAAAUAACAUAUUUACAUGCAAAGCUUUAACAAAUCUAUCAAAAAGCACUAAUUGGGUCUAGAGCGGGCAGAGAUAUACAGUAUGUGUGUCAUGCAGGCCAGGUGGUUAUGUCCUCGUAGAAAAAGCAUUCUAGCAGAAUGGCCCAUUUUACACAUCCUGGAUGUGUGCCAGCAAUGCUUAAGUAUCAGCAUCAACCUGCCCUUUUCUACAAUAUCCAUAUUGGUUUUACUGGAGCCAUUCGGCUAUAAAAGAUGAUUGGCUAUGUACACAUGCCGCUAUGGUUAGUUAGGAUGGGGCCAGAGAGAGAGGGAGGGAGACUGAGAGAGAGGGAUGGGGCCAGAGAGAGGGAGGGAGACGGAGAGAGAGGGAUGGGGCCAGAGAGAGAGGGAGGGAGACGGAGAGAGAGGGAUGGGGCCAGAGAGGGAGGGAGGGAGCCGGAGAGAGAGGGAUGGGGCCAGAGAGAGAGGGAGGGAGACGGAGAGAGAGGGAUGGGGCCUGAGAGAGGGGGAGGGAGACAGAGAGGGAUGGGGCCAGAGAGAGAGGGAGGGAGACAGAGAGAGAGGGAUGGGGCCAGAGAGAGGGAGACAGAGGGAUGGAGCCGGAGAGAGAGGGAUGGGGCCAGAGAGAGAGGGAGGGAGACGGAGAGAGAGGGAUGGGGCCAGAGAGAGAGGGAGGGAGACGGAGAGAGAGGGAUGGGGCCAGAGAGAGAGGGAGGGAGACGGAGAGAGAGGGAUGGGGCCAGAGAGAGAGGGAGGGAGACGGAGAGAGAGGGAGGGAGAUGGAGAGAGAGGGAGGGAGACGGAGAGGGAUGGGGCCAGAGAGAGAGGGAUGGGGCCAGAGAGAGAGGGAGGGGGCCAGAGAGAGAGGGAGGGGGCCAGAGAGAGAGGGAGGGAGACAGAGAGAGAGGGAUGGAGCCAGAGAGAGAGGGAUGGGGCCAGAGAGAGGGAGGGAGACAGAGAGAGAGGGAGGGGGCCAGAGAGAGAAAGAGAGGAUCCACAGAACCGUCUAGUUGGCAUGGUCAGCUGUAAUAUUUAGCACACUACUUCUAUUAAGCUGACCUGCCAAUCACAUCAAACCACUAGACUCUCAGGAGAAACCACAUACAGAGAGACAGACUAAUAUAGCGACACACACACACACACACACACACACAGAGAGAGACAGGGGAGAGAGGCCCAUAGACCUAGAUACUAUUGAACGUAGUAGCGUAGUAGUGCACUGUAGGGAAUAGAGUGUCAUGAGGUCAGUAUAACAGACCAGAGAAUAGAGUGUCAUGAGGUCAGUAUAACAGACCAGAGAAUAGAGUGUCAUGAGGUUAGUGGAACAGACCAGGGAAUAGAGUGCCAUGAGGUUAGUGGAACAGACCAGAGAAUAGUGUCAUGAGGUCAGUAUAACAGACCAGAGAAUAGAGUGUCAUGAGGUCAGUAUAACAGACCAGAGAAUAGAGUGUCAUGAGGUCAGUAUAACAGACCAGGGAAUAGAGUGCCAUGAGGUCAGUAUAACAGACCAGGGAAUAGAGUGUCAUGAGGUCAGUAUAACAGACCAGAGAAUAGAGUGUCAUGAGGUCAGUAUAACAGACCAGAGAAUAGAGUGUCAUGAGGUCAGUAUAACAGACCAGGGAAUAGAGUGUCAUGAGGUCAGUAUAACAGACCAGAGAAUAGUGUCAUGAGGUCAGUAUAACAGACCAGAGAAUAGAGUGUCAUGAGGUCAGUAUAACAGACCAGAGAAUAGAGUGUCAUGAGGUCAGU
ensembl:lncRNA